UUGAACGCUGGCGGCAUGCUUUACACAUGCAAGUCGAACGGCAGCGCGGGCUUCGGCCUGGCGGCGAGUGGCGAACGGGUGAGUAAUGCAUCGGAACGUGCCCAGUAGUGGGGGAUAGCACGGCGAAAGCCGGAUUAAUACCGCAUACGACCUGAGGGUGAAAGCGGGGGACCGAAAGGCCUCGCGCUAUUGGAGCGGCCGAUGUCGGAUUAGCUAGUUGGUGGGGUAAAGGCUUACCAAGGCGACGAUCCGUAGCUGGUCUGAGAGGACGACCAGCCACACUGGGACUGAGACACGGCCCAGACUCCUACGGGAGGCAGCAGUGGGGAAUUUUGGACAAUGGGGGCAACCCUGAUCCAGCCAUGCCGCGUGCGGGAAGAAGGCCUUCGGGUUGUAAACCGCUUUUGUUCGGGAAGAAAUCCUCUGGGCUAAUACCCCGGGGGGAUGACGGUACCGGAAGAAUAAGCACCGGCUAACUACGUG
rnacentral:rRNA from 1 species